UGCUCUCUUGGCGGCGAGUGGCGGACGGGUGAGUAAUGUAUCGGAACGUGCCCAGUAACGGGGGAUAACUACUCGAAAGAGUAGCUAAUACCGCAUACGCCCUACGGGGGAAGGGGGGGGAUCGCAAGACCUCUCACUAUUGGAGCGGCCGAUAUCGGAUUAGCUAGUUGGUGGGGUAAAGGCCUACCAAGGCGACGAUCCGUAGCUGGUUUGAGAGGACGACCAGCCACACUGGGACUGAGACACGGCCCAGACUCCUACGGGAGGCAGCAGUGGGGAAUUUUGGACAAUGGGGGAAACCCUGAUCCAGCCAUCCCGCGUGUAUGAUGAAGGCCUUCGGGUUGUAAAGUACUUUUGGCAGAUUGAAAAGGCGCCCUCUAAUACAGGGCGCUGCUGACGGUAUCUGCAGAAUAAGCACCGGCUAACUACGUGCCAGCAGCCGCGGUAAUACGUAGGGUGCAAGCGUUAAUCGGAAUUACUGGGCGUAAAGCGUGUGUAGGCGGUUCGGAA
rnacentral:rRNA from 1 species